UAAAAAUAUUGAAUUAAAUUUCAGAUGAACCUCUGUACACCACGUCGCGGUACGGGAAGCCGGUAAUCCAGAUAGGCCGGUUUCGGUUCAACCGGUAUCACCGGAGCGUUGGACCGAAGGGCAGUUGGGUUUGUGCCCGUAAGUCUUAUGGUUGCCGCGCCUCGGUCACUACUUACGAGAACGUUAUUAUUAAGUAUAACAACAAUCAUACGCAUAAUUGAUAUGUGUAAUAUUAAUAAUUAUUUACUUAUAUAAACUAUUACGAAUAUAGGUGCUGGAGUUUUUUAAAUUGAUAAUAUUAUAUGUAAUAUUUAUUUCUGUGAAUAUAGGUACCUAAGUUAUAAUACUAUUUAGAAUGUUAGAACAAUCAAAUUUUUAUUAUUAUCGAAUGUUAGUUAUUUGACCUGUUUUCGGUAUAAUAGGUAAGUUUCAAAAGUAACACUAAUCAAAAUUGGAAUCGGGCAGUGUAUUGUAAUGUAAAUCAAAGAAAAUCAUGAUAUGCAUAAGAGCGCUCUCACGAGAAAAGUCAAAAUAAUGUAAAAAUUGUAAUAUUCCUCGAUGUAAUUCAGGACUUUACGCUCAUAAAGAGUAGGUCAUAAACAAAGAGUAGGUACUUGUUCCAAUAAGAGCGUCUUCUUAUCUUUAGGAAUACAGGUUUAAAUAUUAGAAAAAGGACUUACUUAAUUAGUGAUGUUUUUUUCCGGUGGUCGUUUACGAACAAACUGCAUGAAGCGUUGAAUUGUGAGCUCUUAUUUGUAAAUUUCGAAAUGUUUACCCUGCUAAAGGGGAAUAUUUUUUAUGACUAAAACCCUGUACUUAAGAAUAUAGGUUGAUAUUUUUCUACAUGCCUUUGAGAAAGAGAAAAUCAAAGUAAAACGAAUUAAAUUUUCCCUUCAAAACAAGUGUCAAUUCCUAGGAAAAUCUACGUCAUAUUGAAGUUAUUUUUAUACUCAAGCAAUAUUCGUUUUUAUAAUAUUAUAUUAGUAUAUAUAGUAAUAUCAAAAAACUACAGGACAACAUUAAUAGUAAAUUACGAUACAAGUGCGAGUUGCGAAUUACCUUUUGGCACAUGUAUUGUACAACCUUUUACAGUACAUAUAUUAUGGCCCUUUAAAUUUUGGACAUACGCACGUAUAGUGAUAGUAACCGCACUAGGGCGGUAAAAUAGUACCUGACAUUCUAUAGGUACUAAAUUAAAAUUGUAUGUAUAAAUGAAUAUGAAUAAUACUAAAUGGUAAGAACUAACAAUUGGAUGUUAUAGUAAAUUAGAUGUUAUCAAAGCCUGGGUGAUGAUGAAGGUAGUCACAGGUACCAAUCAACCAUGUUACUAAAUCACUUCGUGUUUUGGCUCGUUUGAUUUGGCUCAACAAGAUCUUUGACACAAGAUAGUACUCAGGGUUUGAUGAUGAAGCCGGAAGAUGGUCACCAGUACCAAUGAAUCAUGUACCUAAACCACUUCGUGUUUGGGCUUGUUUGAUUCAUAUCAACAAGAUCUUUGACAUAAGAUGUUACCUCGGGUCUAAAAAUGGAGCUGGAAGGUAGGCACGGGUACCAGUCAACCAUGUAACUAAACCACUUCGUGUUUGGGCUUGUUUGAUUAAUAUCAACAAGAUCUUUGACACAAGAUGUUACCUCGGGUCUAAAAAUGGAGCUGGAAGGUAGGCACGGGUACCAGUCAACCAUGUAACUAAACCACUUCGUGUUUGGGCUUGUUUGAUUGGUCUCAACAAGAUCUUUGACACAAGAUGUUACCUCGGGUCUAAAGAUGGAGCUGGAAGGUGGGCACGGGUACCAGACAACCAUGUAACUAAACCACUUCGUGUUUGGGCUUGUUUGAUUGGUCUCAACAAGAUCUUUGACACAAGAUGUUACCUCGGGUCUAAAAAUGGAGCUGGAAGGUAGGCACGGGUACCAGUCAACCAUGUAACUAAACCACUUCGUGUUUGUACUUGUUUGAUUCGUCUCAACAAGAUAUUUAACACAAGAUAGUUCUCAGGGUCUGAUGAUGGAGCUGGAAGGUGGCCACGGGUACCAGUUAACCAUGUAACUAAACCACUUCGUGUUUCUUCAGUAUUAAAGCUUUUGAUUGUGUCAAAGAUCUCGGUCAGACGAAUCAAACGAGCCUAAACACGAACUUAUUUAGUUACAUAGUUGAUUGGUACCGGUGACCACCUUUUGGAUUCAUUAUUAUUAGACACUGACUAUCAUCUAGUGUCAAAGAUCUUCUUGGGACAUAUGCCUAUGAAGCCGAUGGUCCCGGGUUCAAAUCCUGGUAAGGGCAUUUAUUUGUGUGAUGAGCACGGAUAUUUGUUCCUGAGUCAUGGGUGUUUUCUAUGUAUUUAAGUAUUUAUUAAUAUUAAUAUAUUAUAUAUAUCAUUGUCUAAGUACCCUCAACACAAGCCUUAUUGAGCUUACUGUGGGACUUAGUCAAUUUGUGUAAGAAUGUUCUCUUAAAUUUAAUUUAUAUCUAGUUUAUUGGUACCGGUGACCACUUUGCGGCUCCAUCAUCAGACCCUGAUUAUCACCAAGAUAAAAGAAGAAGACGUCACACCCCACUACAACUCUCAUGCCAGGCUACGUUGCCGGUCGCCAUCACCGUGUCCUCGAAACCCGGCUCCGCUCAAAUGGUAUCACCGAGCUAGAGUCCGCGGGGUUGGAUAACGGUCGGUAGCGAUAAAGCCAGCCCAAAACUGACGCACAGCCGUCCACAUCAAGAUGAUGAUUGACCGCCCCACACGGUGGGGCGCGAUUGGAUCCAGUUUCCAAAGCAGAAAUGCGGACGAGACCUCUCACAUCACGCCCUUUCACAGAAAGGGUGUCGAAUAGUCUACGACUGGGAGUGUUGCUCCGUUCUAUGAUGAAAUUAAUAUCCAUAACUUUCAUUCUCACAACUGAAAGAAACAGCUUGAAAAUGGAUUUUAGAAGAUGUAACUCAAUCAAACAAAUCAAAACGCUCAAUAAUGACAAAUGUACCUAUUCGACUUUUUUCCUAUCAUUAUUUUGAUUUUACAUGUCGGAGAUUGUGAAUAAACGUUGACAUAGAUAGCGAUCAAUUUUUCCAAAUUAUUUUAUUGGCUUAGUAUGUUAAUAUUUUUUUAUUGUUUCUAACAUUUUAAAUAACAUUAACACUAUCAAAAACGUAUUUCUGUAAUAAUGGGCUUGUAAGCGAAUUACUUUGAUAACGUGUUGACAUUUUAGAUACUCCAAUCUUCACGACGUCUAGAUUCGGAAGACCGGUGAUUGAACUGGGCCAGUUCCGGUUCAACCGGUACUGCCACAGUUACGGUCCCAGAGGCAGAUGGGUUUGCGUUAAACGAGUUACUAGAAAAUGCCGCGCGACUCUCAACACUUUUAACAACGAAAUUAUAGUUAAAAAUAAUUUUCACACUCAUGAUUGAAAAAAUAAACUGCCAAUUACUGAAUAAAUGUUUCUAAAACAAGUAAAUAUUAUCUUACCCUAUAUUUUAUUUCAGCUAUAAUAUAUGCAAUAAAACUUGGUCUCUGCAACAAGUCUGUCACAUUCUAACAAGUAUCUAAUGCGAAAGUGACGGGCAUAGUGACAGACGACAAAAAUGGAACCAUGCUGCCACCGCUGGAGCUUAGAGCUCCUAGAGAACUGUGUCAUGGGCCAGUCUUCACAACGUCUAGGUUCGGCAAGCCCGUGAUUCAGUUGGGUCGGUAUCGGUUCAACCGGUACUGCCGCAGCAACGGGCCCAAGGCGCUAUGGCUGUGUGCCAAGAAAUCUUCCGGUUGUCGUGCCUCGUUGACUACUGUAGAGAACCAGAUAUUGAUCGUAAAAAAUAGUCAUACACACGAUUGAUGAAGAAUAAGUCAAUAAAAAAGACAACAAAUAAAACAUAUAUCUAUUUGUAAUAUUUAGGUAAUUAACUGUAUAAUGGUUUAAACAAUAACAGGUAUUCUGUCCCCUCUCCACCAUACAUUAACAGCCAUUAAAAGUAUAUAGGUACUAUAUCUAUAAGAAUACUACAUGUAAUGUUAAAAAUGACUUUUAUUUUGUGGUGAGGUAAUUAAACUGUUACUUAGUUUUCAUUUCUUAAAUAUUUACAAUGAAACUAAAGUUCUGAAUAAGUAGAUAACUCACCGUACGUUUAAUCAUUAAUAAUAAAAUUAAUCGAGUGUGGUUUUUUCUAAGUAAAAUGAAGUGUCUUUGUUUUUAAAUAUAA